ensembl:snRNA U6 U6 spliceosomal RNA
GUGCUCGCUUUGGCAGCACAUCUACUAAAAUUGGAACAAUACAGAGAAGAUUAGUAUGGCCCCUGCACAAGGGUGACACAUACUCAUGAAGCGUUCCAUAUUAAA